rnacentral:rRNA from 1 species
GGACCCGCACAAGCGGUGGAUGAUGUGGUUUAAUUCGAUGCAACGCGAAAAACCUUACCUACCCUUGACAUGCCUGGAAUUCUGCAGAGAUGUGGAAGUGCCCGAAAGGGAGCCAGGACACAGGUGCUGCAUGGCUGUCGUCAGCUCGUGUCGUGAGAUGUUGGGUUAAGUCCCGCAACGAGCGCAACCCUUGUCAUUAGUUGCUACGAAAGGGCACUCUAAUGAGACUGCCGGUGACAAACCGGAGGAAGGUGGGGAUGACGUCAAGUCCUCAUGGCCCUUAUGGGUAGGGCUACACACGUCAUACAAUGGCUGGUACAGAGGGUUGCCAACCCGCGAGGGGGAGCUAAUCCCAUAAAACCAGUCGUAGUCCGGAUCGUAGUCUGCAACUCGACUGCGUGAAGUCGGAAUCGCUAGUAAUCGCGGAUCAGCAUGUCGCGGUGAAUACGUUCCCGGGUCUU